rnacentral:lncRNA from 1 species
ACCUGCAACAUAUAAAAACCACAAUCAGACGUAGAACGUGUCUGUCCAACAAGAUAGAACCAACCCAAUAGAUGGAUAUCUUACUCUCAUAGCGUUCAGAUAUAAAAUGGUUGCAAGGUUAACUAGACUUCCCGCCGCCACCACAUUUUGAACCAUUUAGUUGGUAAAAAUUUGCACCAUUUAAAUCCAGUAAUAACAGAAAGAAAGAACUGACACUAAAAUCUCAUCAUAUCAUCAGGCAGAUGGACUCACACUUCCUACUGUAGCUUGAACAGCAGAAACACGCUGGAAAGCUCUCUCAGCCUCCAGGGUUCGAACUCUAAGCUUCAAAUCACCUUGCUCCUAUAAAAUAUUAGUCCAACUCAAACUAGGAACCAAUCAUUCUCAGCUUUUAAAAACAUAAACACACAGAGAUUCCAGAUUCCCACCAAU